rnacentral:lncRNA from 1 species
UUUAAUUUUGUGGUAGACAAGAGUGUUAGAGAAAGUCAGCUUCCUUCAGUCUGUCAGUUUUCCUGGAGCCUUAACAAACUGUUAAGUACUUUGUGACGGAGCAAGGAGUUUACAAGCCCUGAGGGCCCAGCUCCAAGUGAGCAUGUGUUUCACCAAGUCUACAUUGAGGAACCAGGAUCCCCAUUGUGAUGCGCCAGUGAGAAAGAGUAACUGCUUAAAAGUUCCUUAAAGAAGGCUGAUUUCGGUCACUGAUGAUCCACCUCGGCGAGAAGGAUAAGAGAGUUGUAGUGGAUGAAAAUGAUUUUCUGUGUUACCGACAAAUUAUCAGCCCAUUCUAUCUGUGACGAGUGUCCUGAGAUGAAGCAAUGAAAUCACUGCCUAUAAAGUCUGUCCAAAC